CUGGCAGCCAUUUUGAAAAAGUCUGAUUGUGACAUAUCGCGUCCGUCUGACCAACCUGCGUUAUUUUUAACGGACAUUUUCUGACUGCAUUCACAAGUUUGGACAAAGUAUGUGCG